UACGUAGGGGGCAAGCGUUGUCCGGAUUUAUUGGGCGUAAAGAGCGUGUAGGCGGCUUUACAGGUCCGUUGUGAAAACUCGAGGCUCAACCUCGAGACGCCGGUGGAAACCGUAAAGCUAGAGUCCGGAAGAGGAGAGUGGAAUUCCUGGUGUAGCGGUGAAAUGCGUAGAUAUUGGGAGGAACACCAGUGGCGAAGGCGGCUCACUGGACUGGUACUGACGCUGAGGAGCGAAAGCCAGGGGAGCAAACGGG
rnacentral:rRNA from 1 species